rfam:Serratia sp. ATCC 39006 ctg2, whole genome shotgun sequence.
ACUGCUUUUCUUUGAAAUCUCAAUAUUGAGGAGCCCAUCGUUCACGCCUUUCAGGUUCAAGAACGAUGGGCCUUUUCUU